CCAAGAAUAUUCGACAAUGGGGGAAACCCUGAUCGAGCGAUACCGCGCGGUGGAUGAAGCGCUUCGGCGCGUAACCACCUUUUAUGAGGGAGGAAAUUUUGACGUUACCUCAUGAAUAAGGGGCUCCUAACUCUGUGCCAGCAGGAGCGGUAAUACAGAGGCCCCAAGCGUUACCCGGAAUCACUGGGCGUAAAGAGUGCGUAGGUGGUCAUAUUAGUCGUCCGUUAAAGACCGGGGCUCAACCCCGGAA
rnacentral:rRNA from 1 species